rnacentral:misc_RNA from 1 species
UUAUUUGUAUUUGCAGUUGCUAUGUUGUGUAAUAUUAUGAAAUGAGUGGAUAAGGUUCUAUUUUGUUCAUGCAUGACAAAUUUAUUAGUAAUCUGGUAAAAAUUAAUUGUGUUGGUGUUAUAGAAAAAAGUGAAGAAUAUAUUGUAAUAUUACAAAAAAAUAUGAUUCGCCUUGCAUUAAGAUUUUUUUCCAUACCACAAUACACAAUGACAUCAUAUUGCAUGAAAUUGUUAAACAUUCAUAAAAUAGGACUUUGUACCAUGCUGCAAAAAGAUUGUUGUCCGCUAGUAAUAGCGGGUCCUUCUGGAAGUGGGAAAAGUACUUUGUUAAAUCGUCUAUUCGAGGAGUUUCCAGAUAAAUUUGGAUUCUCUGUAUCGCAUACAACUAGAGCUCCAAGAUCUGGUGAAGAGAAUGGCAAACAUUAUUAUUUUACAAAUAAAGAAGUAAUGCAGAAACAAAUAGACAAUGGUGAGUUCAUUGAGACUGCUACAUAUAGCGGAAACUUAUAUGGAACCAGUAAACUUGCUGUAGAAAAUGUUCAAAGAACAGGAAAAAUAUGUAUAUUAGAUAUUGAAAUAGAAGGGGUUAAACAAAUUAAAAAUAGUUCUCUAAAUGCUAUAUAUAUCUUUAUAAAACCACCAUCUUUGGAAGAACUUGAACAACGAUUAAAGAAAAGGAAAACAGAAACAGAUGAAUCUUUGCGACGAAGAUUAAAUACCGCUAAGAUUGAAUUGGAAUAUGGUGAACAACCAGGAAAUUUUGACAUUGUGAUAGAGAACGAUAAUCUUGGUAAAGCUUAUGAGAAGUUGCGUGAAUUCAUCUCCUACAAAUGGAAUAUCAGUACAUAAAACAGGGUUUGACGAAGAAAGACGCAAAUGUUACAUCCGCUCUGCCAUAGGCAAUAUCACCUGACAAAAACCAAAUACCUGAUCACUCACUCGAGUCAGUUCGAAAUUACGUUCGAGUAUGGGGACACGUGCAAACAGUGCAAAACUCGAUAAAAAGUCUUAGAAGAAGGACGAAGUAAGCCACGAAAAUUGUACUCCACAAGUACUACUUGUCAUACUAAAGUGAACAGUCAAAGGAUUAAAACUAAACAACAUGGAAGAGGAACAUGCGUACGAUAAAUUGGAUUUUUAGAGAUAAAAAAUAUACGAAUAACCGUGAACGAGUUAUAUGUCAUUUGUAAUUCUGAUUAAAAAUGAUGUAUUUCUA